rnacentral:rRNA from 1 species
CUACGGGUGGCAGCAGUGAGGAAUAUUGCACAAUGGGGGGAACCCUGAUGCAGCAACGCCGCGUGGAGGAUGACGCAUUUCGGUGUGUAAACUCCUUUUAUAUGUCAAGAAAAUGACGGUAGCAUAUGAAUAAGCACCGGCUAACUCCGUGCCAGCAGCCGCGGUAAUACGGAGGGUGCAAGCGUUACUCGGAAUCACUGGGCGUAAAGGACGCGUAGGCGGGUUGGAAAGUCAGGUGUGAAAUCCUACAGCUUAACUGUAGAACUGCACUUGAAACUUCUAAUCUAGAGUAUGGGAGGGGGAGAUGGAAUUAGUGGUGUAGGGGUAAAAUCCGUAGAUAUCACUAGGAAUACCUAAAGCGAAGGCGAUCUCCUGGAACAUUACUGACGCUAAGGUGUGAAAGUGUGGGGAGCAAACAGGAUUAGAUACCCUGGUAGUC